ensembl:lncRNA
GGGCAUAGUGAAUAUGCUGCAUGGUCAAAUUGGUUUGUAUAAGUGGAAACUGACUGUAUGUGAGAACACCAUUCUGCAGACAUGUUUGGUGGCAUUUGAACUUCUAAAUAAGAGUUAAGCAAGCUUCCCUGAUUCUUCUGCCUUCAUUUGGAAACCUAUCAUCGGAAACAUCGAACUGGAAGAAAUGUCGCAAUUUUGAGGUCACUCCCUCCAGGAAACCUUCUUGAUCCCCCAAGACUGGAUCAGGUGUCUCUGAGAUGUUCACACAGUGUCUUCUAUUUCCUCUAGCAAGGCAUGGCAGGUGUCUUCCUAUGUUCACAUGCAAUGUAUACUAGCAAUAAGUAUCUAAUAAAUGUUUGUUUAGUGAGGAAUAUUGAGUUGAGCCACUAUGAUUUCCCUAAGGAAAUGCAGAGCUUGCUAUUCAAGAUUAUGGUUUACCAUGUGGUCAAGCUGCAUGUGGUACCUGGAGAGAAGCAGAUGAGAACUGAAGCUAAAUAUUCCUGCCUCAAUAUGCAUAGCCCAAAUUUUCUUAUGCAACUUGAUUUGGAGCAUAGUUUUUCUGGGUGCUCUCAUCCUCUAUCUCCAUGUGGAGACCUUCACCCUCACAAGAUGAGGCCCUUUGACUUUGGACUUCAGUCUCCAGAACUAAUCCAUCUGCUGAGCUGUGAGAAAUCCACACAAGAAGAAAGCACGUGUAGGAGCUCCUGUUGGCAGCUCCAGCUGAGUCAUAGUUGACCACCGUUAUCUACUGCCAGCCUUGGAUGACCAGCCCAGUCAAGGCUGCCUGUGGCUAUUGGACUGCAACCACAUAAGAAACACCAGUCAUAGAGUUAAUAAUAAAUUGUUGUUUUAAGCCACUGAGUUGUGGGAUAGUUUAUUAUAUAUGAUAGAACAACCUUAUAAGCAAAUUACACGGUGGUUUAUACAAACAUGUUUACAUAAAGAUGCAGUAUGUGUUACAUGAAACCUCAAAAUGUUAGAGUUUAUACCCUUAAUAGGCCCAAGUUCUGUUUUUCAUUUCGAUGGGAUCAGGUUUCAAAAAUAUAGUGAAUGUAUGGUGUUAGAUUUGAGAGAGAAUUGAAAUACAGCAUUUUGGAACUGUAAGCUUCACAUACAUUCAUCCAUUCAUUUAAAUGUUGAUUAUGUACAUAUGCAAAGCAAUAUACCAGGUGCUGUGGGGGAUAAAGGGAUGAAUCAGAAAGCUACUAAUAUUAGCAUUUCGGAAGCCCCUCCCUUCUCUCCCUGAAGACAAUAAAACAUAGUAAUCAAAUUUCCUGCCGGGUUUUCAUUUGGCAUUUUCUCUCUUUCAUAGUUUUGAUCAUUUUUUCAUGUGAUUAGUUUCUUUGAGUGUUUGAAAGUGUAAAAAAUCAACAUAAAGAAGAAUUCACAUCAACGAAUGGAUAAAAUAGCCAGUUAACAUCAAGUGGCAGUAACCCUAAAUUUAAAUCGACUAAAUCCCCCAAUCAAAAGAUAUAGCCAAAACCUAAUGGUAUAUUCAAAGAUACACAAAGACUCAAAACAAGGGGUUGGAGAAAAAUUUACCAACCAAAUGGAGAGUAAAAAUAAAUAAAUAAACAAAAAGCAGGAGUUGCAAUUCUCACAUUUGAUAAAAUAGAUUUCAAAGCAACAAAGAUACAGUGGUAAAAGGAUCAAUGCAACAAUAAGAGAUCUUAAUACCCAGAUACAUAAGACCCAUAACGAGAUUUAGACUCAACAAGACAGAAAAUUAAUAAGGAUAUCCAGGACUUCAACUCAGAUCCGGAACAAGUAAACUCAAUAAAUAUUUAUAGAGUUCUCCAUUUUAAAUACACAAAAUAUUGAUCGGCCAUUAUUAAUACCCAUUUUUAGAAUGAAGCAAUAUUCCUGUUCUCUCCCUUUUUUUCUUCCUCUUUCUUCCUCUCCUUCUCUCCUUUUUUUACUUUUCAACAUCCUAGUUCCUCAUCUCUACUCAAUACAUUCCUCUGAACACCUGAUUCCUUGUGAUUCUCCCAUCCCACUGAAACCUCCAAUCCAUUAAAAAAAAAAAAAAUCCCCCAAAUAAUAAUUAAGUUUUCCACAUAUAUGUUAGAAAAUCAUUUAAUUUACUAAUCCAUUUAAUAUAAACAGAUUUUUUCAUUGACUUUAAACCAGGCAUUCAAGAUCAACUUUGGUCUGACCAAAAUAUAUAUCUACAUAUCAGAAUAGGUGCCAGAAUUUAUAGGGAUUCUUUUAAAGUAUUUUCAUCUUGACCAGGAUUCUCAAUCUUGACACUAGCGACAUUUUAGGACCAACAGUUACUUGCUGUAGGUAGCUAUUCAGUAGAUUUUUGGUAUUUAAUAGAUUAUAAUAAUCCAUACACUAGAAAUUUAGAUGCACUCUUAACCAACAAAUAUGACUUAAUAGCAACAUAAGGUGGAAGGACAUACCAUUUGUCAAGUUUGAGUCACAAAUAGGUAUUACUUAACACUUGAUUUUGAGAAAAUAUUUAAGGUGUUAAGGGUUAAAUGGAGAUUUGUUCCAAUUUUUGCAUCUACUAAAUAAGGCUAAUCAACUAUUUAUUGAACACAUAGUAUAUGUUAUGUGUGUUUCAUUGGGUUGUUGGGAAGAAAAAAUGAGACCAGGCAUUUUCUCAUCCUAUGUAAAUUUAAAAAAAAAAUAAAAGAAAAGAAAGUGUAAAAGGGAAAAAAAACUGAAGAAAAAGUGGCUAAAUACACAAUGACAUAGUAACCUUAAAACAAACAAAUAAACUAGUAAGUAAUCUAGAAUUUUGAUGAAGAUUUGUACGUUGUAUGUGUUUGCUCAAAAAAAAAAAAGCGUUUUUUCACCCCAUAAUCUUGCUGUUCUUUCAGUGCGAUUUAUAUUCAUGAUCUGGUAUAAAUGACAGGAUGGAUCAUAGAUUAUUUUGCAGCUCAGAUGCUUUAGAUGUUAUAAAAGAACUGCUUAUUGCUUUCAAGUAUUGUCACUUUUAUUAGAGCCUGAACUCUGAAGGGAGAGAAGUUGGACUCUACUUCUGACUCUGACAAUUACUAUCUUUUUACCUUGGGUAAUUUGCAAAACUCACUAAGCCUAAGUUUCAUUAUCUAUAAGUAGAAUGUAGAGAUGGCAUUGGCAUCCAAAUGCUAUUGUGAAUAUUUGUUGUAAUAAUGCAUGUAAAGCACUUGCAAGGGAUCUAGCACAUAGUGAAACACAGUAUUUUUCUGAGGUCAUGAUCAUGCAUGAUUACUUUAUAUAAAGAAAUGGUGAUAUUAAGAGUUCCGUGCAAUUUUAUUUAGGUUCCACAGUUAAUCGCCGGGGACAAUUUAAGAAUUAUUUAGACCUAUUUACUUCUUACAAAUGGUUUUAAAAUUUAACACAAUCUUUUCAAAAGCAGCACAAACAUUCUUAAAAUGUUAUUCCAUGUAGAUGGACCACUUGUCUGGUUGAAGUGGAGAUGGGGAACAGUCUUACUUUGCACAGUGGUUCUCUUAUGACAAAACUAAUGGUUUAGUGAAGUCCAGUUUAAAAACUACUACAUGGGCCGGGCAUGGUGGCUCAUGCCUAUAAUCCAGCGCUUUGGGAGGCUGAGGUGAGUAGAUUACUUGAGCUCAGAAGUUCAAGACCAGCCUGGGCAAUAUGGUAAAACCCUGUCUACAAAAAAUACAAAAAUUAGCCUGGUGUGGUGGCGUGCAUCUGUAGUCCCAGCUACUUGGAAGACUGAGGUGGGAGGGUCACUUGAGCUGAAGAGGUCGAGGCUGCAGUAAGCAGAGAUGGCACCACUGCAUUCCAGCCUGGGCAACAGAGUGAGACUCUGCCUCAAAAAAAAGGUAAUGUAUCAACACUGGCUCUUCAAUUUGAUCAAAUGUACCAUACUACUGUUAAUAAUGCAAAAUGUUAAUAGUAGGGGAAAACUGCAGCGGUUGCCAUGGGCUGAGAUAGCGUCAUUGCACUUCAGGCUGGGUGACAGAGUGAGAUUCCAUUUCAAAAAUCAAAAACAAAAACAAACAAACCAAACUAUUACACUAGGCUCUUAUUUCUCUGUUUGUAGCUCUAUUUCUUUCUAGUCCUGCUUUUCCAAGUGUUUUAAGCAUUUUGAACCAUGUAUUAUUUUAAAUGUCCUCUGCCCUUCCUUGCUACCUAUCAGUGUUUAUGCUACUAUCUCUACCUGCAUAAACCUAACCUGUGGUUUUCCUUUUCAGUUAUAAACCUCAUUGCACCAGCCUGGAGCUGAAAGGAUGUCAGGGGAACAUGUUUUAAGAAAAGAACCUUAAAAUGCAUUAGCUUCCUAUUACAAAUCUUUUAUCCCAAUUAAAAAAUGGAAUCAAACAUGUUUCACCUUAAUUGCUUAAGCAGCCUGAGCUACAUGUUCAUUGCAUAGUUUCAAGUUGUGUAAUUUGGGGUCUCUCCAAACACAUUCUAGGGAAGUUGGUAAAGGCACUACCAGCUGGUGAACACAGAUGCUAUUUCAUUAACAUAGUUAGCCAAAUCUUGACGAAUCCUAAUUUAUAUUUGCUUGAACCAGGAAGUCUAAUCUUUUUAAGUUCAUUUUUCCAGACUUUCAGAAAUCCCCAGUGAUGUUUACACAUUCAUGAAAUGUGCCUAGUUAUAGGUCUUAUUUCAGUAAGUCCAGUCCAAACACCACAGACCUUAGAGUUGUUCCCUAAUACUUAUGUUCCACCCUCAUGCUUGACCACUGCUGUCACUAAUGAGGCUAGACAUCCUUCAUAUUUAACAUGGGCAGCUUGAAGCCUGCUUCUGCACCUAUAGAGUAUAAAUGAGAAUGUCCCAUGUAUACCUGGUUAGAGAGAGGAGCUGAAAGUUCGCUUUAACAAGGAAGUGCUAGAGUAGUUGUAAAGCUGCUUUAAUUACAAAAAUCAAGUUAUAAGAAUAAAAUAGACACCACAUUACCUCAAAAGCACAGGCAACAAAUGCAAAAAUAAACAAAUGAGGUUAUAUUAAAUGAAAAAAAUUCUGCACAGCAAAUCAAGCAAGCAACAAAGUGAAAAUACAACCUAAAGAAUGGGAGAAAAUAUUAGUAAAAUAUUCAUCUGACAAGGGAUUAAUAUCCAGAAUAUACAAGGAACUCAAACAUCUCAACAACAAAAAAUACCAAGCAAUCCAAUUAACUAAUGGGCAAAGGAUCUGAAGAGAUAGUUCUCAAAAGACAUACAAAUAUCUGGUAAAUAUAUGAAAAACAUGCUGUUAUUUUCAACUUUUAUGUUGUAUCUCUUAUAACUAAUAUAUUGUUGGAAUUUUAAAAUAUGGCAUAUAUUUUUGUUUUGUUAAAUGGGAUGUUUAGUGCAUAUAGAUGAUGAAAUUACUAGUGCUUCAAAUUGUUCUGUCUUUUUUAUCCUUUCUUGCCUUUUUAGGAUUAUGUUUGAUUAUUCUAUUCUUCCCCUUUAGUACUUUGAAAGUUGGACAUUAUGUUUCCUUUUAGUCACUUCCCUAGAAAUUAUAAUGUGAAUAAUUAACAUAACAGAAGUUAAUGUCAAAAGAUAUCUUUACCUCUUUCCUAAGCAAUACAAAGCUUAAAAUACUUUAAGCCCAUUACUCUUCUCUUGUUUUAUAUUAUUUUGCUAUGCAUCUUAAUUUUAUUUUUAUCCUCAAUAAUACAUUAUGAUUA